UACGUAGGGUGCGAGCGUUAAUCGGAAUUACUGGGCGUAAAGCGUGCGCAGGCGGCCGAGCAAGUCGAGUGUGAAAGCCCCGGGCUUAACCUGGGAACUGCGCUCGAAACUACUUGGCUUGAGUGUGGCAGAGGGAGGUGGAAUUCCACGUGUAGCGGUGAAAUGCGUAGAGAUGUGGAGGAACACCGAUGGCGAAGGCAGCCUCCUGGGCCAACACUGACGCUGAGAAGCGAAAGCAUGGGGAGCGAACAGG
rnacentral:rRNA from 1 species